AAAUAUUGAAGUUUAUUUUGGGGAAUAGAAAAAAAGAAUAGGGUUGGAUCAAAUUACAAAGUAUUGGGUCAAAAAGUCUGGGAAGUACUCAUAAUUGGACCCGAUGUGAGAGAGGCCCAAAAUCCCCUCAUGGAAUUUGGAGGGGGCGACAACCCUAGUAGGAAUACUAGGGGAUGUUGUCCACCCUACUCCUAUUAUAAGUAGGAAGUUAUUUU
rnacentral:lncRNA from 1 species